rnacentral:rRNA from 1 species
GUGACGAUAGCCUAGGAGAUACACCUGUACCCAUGCCGAACACAGAAGUUAAGCCCUAGAACGCCGGAAGUAGUUGGGGGUUGCC